GUCCAGCUGCCUGGGAGAGGCAGGGUACCACAGAGGAGCUGGCAUCCCGAGAAAGGAUGCCACCACCAGCUGGUCCCUUCCAGAGCUCUGUCUGAACUCCACCAGCCUUGCUUCUGGCCUCAUCCUGCAGACCCAGGGGACACCUCCACUUGCAAGUUCAGUCCAUGGGCACUGCACACUCUCUCGGCCCCAAGUUGAACCCCUUUUCCUCACCCAACAUCCUCCAUUUCAACAAAUGGCAGCGUUGUGGGUAAAAUAACACCUCCUUCAGAGACAUUGACAUCCUCAU
rnacentral:lncRNA from 10 species